UGGAGUCUUGCGGUUUUAAUUGGAUUCAACGCCGAAAUCUUACCGGGACCGACAGCAAUAUGAAGGCCAGGCUGAAGACUUUGCCGGAUUAGCUGAGAGGUGGUGCAUGGCCGUCGUCAGUUCGUACUGUGAAGCAUCCUGUUAAGUCAGGCAACGAGCGAGACCCACGCCCACAGUUGCCAGCGUACUCUCUGGAGUGACGGGUACACUGUGGGACCGCCGCUGCUAAAGCGGAGGAAGGAAUGGGCAACGGUAGGUCAGUAUGCCCCGAAUAUCCCGGGCUACACGCGAGCUACAAUGGUUGGUACAAUGGGUAUCUACCCCGAAAGGGGACGGGAAUCUCCUAAAACCAAUCUUAGUUCGGAUUGAGGGCUGCAACUCGCCCUCAUGAAGCUGGAAUCCGUAGUAAUCGCGUUUCAACAGAACGCGGUGAAUACGUCCCUGCUCCUU
rnacentral:rRNA from 1 species